rnacentral:rRNA from 1 species
CUACGGAGGGUGCAAGCGUUAAUCGGAAUUACUGGGCGUAAAGCGUACGUAGGCGGUUAUUUAAGUCAGAUGUGAAAGCCCCGGGCUUAACUUGGGAACUGCAUUUGAAACUGGGUAACUAGAGUUUAGUAGAGGGGAGUGGAAUUUCAGGUGUAGCGGUGAAAUGCGUAGAGAUCUGAAGGAACACCAGUGGCGAAGGCGACUCCCUGGACUCGAACUGACGCUGAGGUACGAAAGCGUGGGUAGCAAACGGGAUUAGAAACCCCUGUAGUCC